CCCUCGAUGGUGUAGUUGGUUCAUCACGUCGCUCUGUAAUGGUAACAUCGUCAAGCGAAGGUCACCGGCUCGACUCCGGUUCGAGGGA